rnacentral:rRNA from 1 species
CGCCUCCUGACUUAACUAUAGGAGGUCCAGCCUGCCCAAUGAAUAUUGAAUGGCCGCGGUACUCUUACCGUGCGAAGGUAGCAUAAUCACUUGUUCAUUAAAUGUGGACUAGAAUGAACGGCACCACGAGGGUUAUACUGUCUCCCUACUCUAAUCAAUGAAACUAUUCUUCCCGUGAAGAAACGGGAAUUUUUAUAUAAGACGAGAAGACCCCAUGGAGCUUUAAACCCAGAACAUCUACUAAUUCCUUUUCCAACCAAAUAUAUAGUACUUAUGCCCCUGGUUUUCGGUUGGGGCGACCACGGAGUAAAUAAUAACCUCCAUGAUGAACAAAUUAUACUUUUACCUAAGAACCACAUUUCUAAGGACCAUCAAUAUGACAUUUCUUGACCCAAGUUUACUUGAUCAACGAACCUAGUUACCCUGGGGAUAACAGCGCAAUCCAUUUCAAGAGCUCAUAUCGACAAAUGGGUUUACGACCUCGAUGUUGGAUCAGGGUAUCCCAGUGGUGCAGCCGCUACUAAAGGUUUGUUUGUUCAACAAUUAAUAACCCU